GUGCCAGCAGCCGCGGUAAUACAGGGGGCUCGAGCGUUAGUCGGAAUCACUGGGCUUAAAGGGUGCGUAGGCGGUCCAUCAAGUGUUCUGUGAAAUCCCCGAGCUCAACUCGGGAACUGCAGGGCAAACUGAAGGACUUGAAGCAGGUAGGGGCUGGAAGAACAGUUGGUGGAGCGGUGAAAUGCGUAGAUAUCAACUGGAAUGCCGAUGGGGAAGCCGUCCAGCUGGGCCUGUCUUGACGCUGAGGCACGAAAGCGUGGGGAGCAAACAGGAUUAGAUACCCUGGUAGUCC
rnacentral:rRNA from 1 species